rnacentral:lncRNA from 1 species
UCGAGUCAGCUAAACAAAUACAAACUACACGGCCAAAUAUUUAACAAUUUACAAACUUACUUUCGCAAAGAAGAAGACGAAGACGACAACCAAGAUCAGUGAAAUUACCUAAACAAAAAAGCAUAGUAAAUUAUGAACUCUGAUAAAUACAACUAACAAUGAUUUUUGUUUACAUAUUAACCAUCAAAUAAAAGAGAAACAAACACAACCAAACCAGAAGAUAUAAGAUAAAAUCCCGACAGACACAAAGGCGGCAACAACAUCUCUACCUGCUCACUCUUCUUGUCUUAUAAAAACAGCUUACAUGCCCAAUGUCAACAUGUCAAUGUUAUUGUCUUCUUAUGAGAAAUACAUAAAUUCGUUUAAAACCCAUUAAAUCCCAAAUACUUAGAAUUGUCACUCAUUUUAUAGUUAUUUCUACAAGUCUUCAUAUAUUUGUUUCAAAGGUCCGGUAACAGCAACAAAUUUUUUUAAAAAAAAACAUAUAACAAACAG